AGGUAAAAUAUUUUUCGUAGUGCUGCAACCGUUGUGCGCUGAAACCGGAAGUGACGCGCGUAUACGUGACUCCUGACCUUUCUGCUUGCUUCUUGGAAUAUGUUACUGCGCAGACUCCAACACUUCGUGUGAUUCGCUCGGGCAAGGAGGCUCGGGCUACCACCGGUGUACUACAUCUUUAAUAGACAGCAUCUUUCAUUUAACUACAGGCCAGGUACCAGUGACAACAUCUAUGCAAGAUGGAAACCUUCAUUAAAAACUGCCUGCAUUUCUAUUACCCAA